AACGAACGCUGGCGGCAUGCCUAACACAUGCAAGUCGAACGAGACCUUCGGGUCUAUUGGCGCACGGGUGCGUAACGCGUGGGAACCUGCCCUUAGGUUCGGAAUAACUCCCCGAAAGGGGUGCUAAUACCGGAUAAUGUCUUCGGACCAAAGAUUUAUCGCCUUUGGAUGGGCCCGCGUUGGAUUAGCUAGUUGGUAGGGUAAUAGCCUACCAAGGCGACGAUCCAUAGCUGGUCUGAGAGGAUGAUCAGCGACACUGGGACUGAGACACGGCCCAGACUCCUCCGGGAGGCAGCAGUGGGGAAUAUUGGACAAUGGGCGAAAGCCUGAUCCAGCAAUGCCGCGUGAGUGAUGAAGGCAUUAGGGUUGUAAAGCUCUUUUACCCGGGAUGAUAAUGACGGUACCGGGAGAAUAAGCUCCGGCUAACUCCGUG
rnacentral:rRNA from 1 species